GUGCCAGCAGCCGCGGUAAUACGGAGGGUGCGAGCGUUACCCGGAUUUACUGGGCGUAAAGGGCGUGUAGGCGGUCCCUCAAGUCCGAUGCUAAAGACCGGGGCUCAACCCCGGGGGUGCGUUGGAUACUGUCGGGCUAGACGGUCGGAGGGGGCAGCGGAAUUUCCGGAGUAGCGGUGAAAUGCGCAGAUACCGGAAGGAACGCCGAUAGCGAAGGCAGCUGCCUGGACGACUUGUGACGCUGAGGCGCGAAAGCGUGGGGAGCAAACCGGAUUAGAUACCCGGGUAGUCC
rnacentral:rRNA from 1 species